UACGUAGGCAGCGAGCGUUGUUCGGAGUUACUGGGCGUAAAGGGUGUGUAGGCGGUUGUUUAAGUUUGGUGUGAAAUCUCCCGGCUCAACUGGGAGGGUGCGCCGAAUACUGAAUGACUUGGAGUGCGGGAGAGGUGAGUGGAAUUCCUGGUGUAGCGGUGAAAUGCGUAGAUAUCAGGAGGAACACCGGUGGUGUAGACGGCUCACUGGACCGUGACUGACGCUGAGACACGAAAGCGUGGGUAGCAAACAGG
rnacentral:rRNA from 1 species